rnacentral:miRNA from 1 species
GAGGGAAGAGAAAUGGUCUGCU